CGACCCGCGACGUCAACCGCCCGCCGCUCGCCACUCGUCCGAGUGAGCCGCUUGCACGCUCUGUGCGCGGGCGGCUACGUUCGCCGCCACAAGCACCCACAUAGUUCGGCCCCCGGCCGGGACUGGCAUCCCGAUCGAGGGCCUGACCAAUCAGGAAGAAGAAACCUUCCCG
rnacentral:ncRNA from 1 species